rnacentral:rRNA from 1 species
CGACCGUUAUCCGGCGUCCGGACAGUGCCAGGUGGGCAGUUUGACUGGGGCGGUCGCCUCCUAAAAGGUAACGGAGGCGCCCAAAGGUUCCCUCAGGCUGAAUGGAAACCAGCCGGAGAGUGUAAAGGCAUAAGGGAGCUUGACUGCAAGACCUACAAGUCGAGCAGAGACGAAAGUCGGGCUUAGUGAUCCCACGGUUCCGAGUGGAAGGGCCGUGGCUUACCGGAUAAAAGCUACCCCGGGGAUAACAGGCUAGUCGGGCCCAAGAGUUCACAUCGACGGCCCGGCUCGGCACCUCGAUGUCGGCUCAUCGCAUCCUGGGGCUGAAUAAGGUCCCAAGGGUUGGGCUGUUCGCCCAUUAAAGCGGUACGUGAGCUGGGUUCAGACCGUCGUGAGACAGGUCGGUCUCUAUCCGCUGUGGGCGCAGGGGACUUGAGGGGAGCUGCCCUUAGUACGAGAGGACCAGGGUGGACAGACCGCUAGUGUGCCAGUUGUCACGCCAGUGGCAUCGCUGGGUAGCUAACGUCUGGCAGAGAUAACCGCUGAAAGCAUCUAAGUGGGAAACUCGCCCCAAGAUUAGGUCCCCCACCGGGCUAACCGGGUAAGACCGCCGGAAGACUACCGGUUUGAUAGGCCGCAGGUGUAAGCACAGCAAUGUGUUUAGCUGAGCGGUACUAACGGUCGAGGGCUUAAUUC